GCAGUUUUUUUUGGUACCACCACUGCAAACUUUGGACACACCUCCAAGACGCAAACCACACUCUCCUCAUCAGGAUGUUUAUAGUACUGGUACCAGCAUCCCUACACAACCAACUCAACACAGUGACAUGGAGGACACAAUCACUCUACAAAUGCAGCCAGUAUUAGAAGGAAACAGCCCCCCAGCACCUGUGAGGAGGGAAAUGUUCUUUGAGCUGCACAUUGAUCUUAGCCUGCAGAACUGUGACCAGUAUAUUUGAUUCCAAUAAUGAUUCUUUCUAGAUUCCAAUCAACCUAAGUUCAUGCAGCCAUACUAAUUGGCAGCAAAUAAGAAUGUCUUUAGCCUGCAGAAUUGUGACCAGUAUAUUUGAUUCCAAUAAUGAUUCGUUCUAGAUUCCAAUCAAUCUAAGCUCAUGCAGCCAUACUAAUUGGCAGCAAAUAAGAAUGUCUUUAGCCUGCAGAAUUGUGACCAGUAUAUUUGAUUCCAAUAAUGAUUCUUUCUAGAUUCCAAUCAAUCUAAGCUCAUGCAGCCAUACUAAUUGGCAGCAAAUAAGAAUGUCUUUAGCCUGCAGAAUUGUGACCAGUAUAUUUGAUUCCAAUAAUGAUUAUUUCUAGAUUCCAAACAAUCUAAGCUCAUGCAGCCAUACUAAUUGGCAGCCACCCAUAUUAAUCCAUGACAAAUACAACAAACAUUGUGAAUGCAAACUCUUUUAAAAUUAUUAUAUAUUGGACAUGACACUAAGAACACUAUUGUGUGUGUAAAUAUUGUCCUUCAAUUUUAGAA